rnacentral:tRNA from 1 species
GCAGUGGUAAUUCAGUGGUAGAAUUCUCAUCUCACAUGCAGGCAACCUGGGUUCAAUUCCUGGCCGAUACA